AGUACCUAUGUCCCAGCAUUACACUUAUUUUAUUUAUCGAAGAUACAAAAUAUCUGGAGAGAAAUAACAGCUUCAGAACAAAUGCAAUUGGAUUUCAGUUAUAAUUUAUAUUUCCAAUGGGUUCAAAAUAGAUGAUCAGGACUUAUUUUCGCAAUUGUCAAAAACAUUGCUGAUGAUACAAGUUUCACAGAAAGCUGGCAGGAAUUGUGUACAUGACAGUGCUAACAAGACCAGACCGACGCAGGCCACCCGGUAUUUUCAUGUCCACUGCAACGCUUUAAGACAAUUAAUAAAAAAAAAACCAUUGUGAGGCUUAUAUUCCGAGAAAGGGGAUCACUUCGGUUCCUAUAUUCCGAAGUUCCACGAACAGAGGUGCC
rnacentral:lncRNA from 1 species